rnacentral:rRNA from 1 species
UACGGAGGGUGCAAGCGUUACUCGGAAUCACUGGGCGUAAAGGGCGCGUAGGCGGGUUGUCAAGUUCUGAGUGAAAUCCAACGGCUCAACCGUUGAACUGCUUGGAAAACUGGCAGCCUAGAGUGAGGGAGAGGUAGAUGGAAUUGGUGGUGUAGGGGUAAAAUCCGUAGAGAUCACCAGGAAUACCCAUUGCGAAGGCGAUCUACUGGAACUCAACUGACGCUGAGGCGCGAAAGCGUGGGGAGCAAACAGG